UACAGAGGUCUCGAGCGUUAGGCGGAAUCACUGGGCUUAAAGCGUGUGUAGGCGGACCGUUAAGUGCCUUGUGAAAUCCCACGGCUCAACCGUGGAACUGCUUGGCAUACUGGCGGUCUUGAGCAACCUAGGGGCGAGCGGAACAAAUGGUGGAGCGGUGAAAUGCGUAGAUAUCAUUUGGAACGCCAAUGGUGAAAACAGCUCGCUGGGGGUUUGCUGACGCUGAGACACGAAAGCCAGGGGAGCAAACGGG
rnacentral:rRNA from 1 species